rnacentral:rRNA from 1 species
UACAGAGGUGGCAAGCGUUGUUCGGAAUUACUGGGCGUAAAGGGCGCGUAGGCGGUUCGAUAAGUCCCGUGUGAAAGCCCCCGGCUCAACUGGGGAACUGCACGGGAAACUGACGGACUUGAGUUCGGGAGAGGGAAGCGGAAUUCCGGGUGUAGCGGUGAAAUGCGUAGAUAUCGAGAGGAACACCUGCGGCGAAGGCGGGUUGCUGGGCUGACACUGACGCUGAGGCGCGAAAGCCAGGGGAGCAAACGGG